CAGAUUCUCAAGUCCCAAGUUGUAGAAGAGAGCUGACUUUGCCGCAAAAAAUCAGGUUCUCUUAAAUGCCUGCAGCACUCUGGGAAACUUGAGCCUGAAACAAUAAAUCUUUCCUGAAACAGAGUGAUCUGUGAGUAAGUUAGCACUGUGUACUUUGUUGUAAAAAUAUAUGUUGGGUACAUAAGACUUGGCAGUUUUGUUCUUUCUUUUCCAGAUUGCAUGAUCUUUGCACUUUGCUGUCACACAAAGAUCUUCAAAUAUGCACAUGCUAAAUGAUAUAUUCUAUCCAAAUACAUUGCAGAGAGAAUUGUGUAAUUUACUUGCCCUUUGUAUCUAAGCAGUCCAUGAAGAGAGAAUAAUUUGCUGUGGAGAAAUAACAGGUGAGGAAACUAAGAUAGAUAAAGACCAGGUGAACUGUCCAAAUGACACAGCUACCCUGGGGCUGGCAAACUCCAAACGCUUUUAACCUUGGUCCUACAGAGGAGUGGUGCAGCAGGCUGUUCUGCAGACUGCUGUGCUUGCCAGCUCACUGCACACCUGAAUGCCAUGUGGCAGCCAAAGAAGUGCAGCACUUAAUUACCUCAAUGAUUUACCUGAAGCUAUUUCAAUGCAAGAGCUGCUGUCGUGGGCCAGUGUCCUGUUGUGCUAGGAACUUCAGAAGCAUCAAAAAGAAAGAUAAAAUCAAAUGGAUAAGGAGCAGAAAGAACCUUGAGAUGCAUUUUCUCUUCUGCUGAUAUGCCAAUGCCUCACAGAAGCCACCCAGACUGAGGCUGUUGGCCUGAUCCCAGCACGUGCCCUCCUUUGUUGUCAUGGCAAUUUAACUACAGGAGGAACAAAAUCCAUCAGCUGAGCAAGGGGUGGAUUUUCACUUCACAAAACUUCCAGAGAAACCAAAGUUGUGAAAGGCAUCUGAAGUCUGAUGCAACAAAAUCUGGGGCAGGGGGAGGGACCAGCACCUUCUCCCUGGCUCCUUGCUGUGCACAUAACCCACAUAGCUCAGGGAUGUCCUUGCUGCUCCUGCUCACAUCUCCCAGAAAAUCCAUCUCUGUGUGUUGGAUGGAAGCUGGAGAGGAAAUAGGUGCAGAUUCUGCAUUGUUUCUCCAUUCCUGCUGUUCUCAUCUCUGAAAUCCAACUGCUCUGGUCUUUAGAAAAGCUGAUUUUCUCUGAAAUGCAAAAAGCAAUGUCACUGCUAGUGUGGGAUGUGAUGGCUCUGUCACUGACUGAUGUAACACAGGGCCAUUUUCUGCUGGUGGCUGGGAGCUCUGGGAGCUCUCAGGAAGAGAAACAGAAGAGUUCUGGGUAAAUCACAGCAUUGCCAGAAAGGUUUCACUUCUAAUAUUUAAUGAUUUUCUUUUCCUUAACUGAGGAAUGAGAGCUGUAACAAUUGUAAAGUAUAUUAAAUAAUCUUCACAGAUUUGUUUCAGUCUUUCUAAUGUAAUGGUGUUUUCUAAACAUUAUUUUUGGUGGCUUUUACUUCAGAUUUCUGCCCCAUUGCUUAACUAGAGCAAAAAUAGGGUGAUAUAUAGCAUAACUAAUUAGCAACUGUAAGAUAAAAAGAUACAUCUGUGCUCUACAUUUGCAUUACACAAGGUUAGACCUUGUAAAUUAGAUGAAACACCACUAAUAAUCAAACAAAUGAGGUCAGAUCCAUUGUUCUUUUCAUUCUCUGCACUUCUGUUGAGAUAAUUUUACACUUCUGCUCCACAAUUGAACAAUUAUUAGUUUCCUAAGUGCUACAUGAGUUUUGACAAAACAAAUCCCCGUAGAAUCAAAAUAAGUAAUUUUAUAUUCAGCAAAAAUGAUUUUCACAUUAGCCUGCAUGAAAUAUUAUUCAACCCAAUUAUCACAAUAUGUGGACAUGUAUAAUAAAUAAGGUACAGCAAAUCUAAUACUCUAUGAC
ensembl:lncRNA